rnacentral:rRNA from 1 species
UGGUGCAUGGUUGUCGUCAGCUCGUGUCGUGAGAUGUUGGUUAAGUCCGCAACGAGCGCAACCCCUAUUGUUAGUUUGCCAUCAUUCAGUUGGGCACUCUAGCGAGACUGCCGGUAUAACCGGAGGAAGGUGGGGAUGACGUCAAGUCCUCAUGGCCUUUAUGACCAGGGCUACACACGUACUACAAUGGCCGGUACAAAGGGCAGCCACUUAGCGAUAAGGAGCCAAUCCCGUAAAGCCGGUCUCAGUCCGGAUUGGAGUCUGCAACUCGACUCCAUGAAGUUGGAAUCGCUAGUAAUCGCAGAUCAGCACGCUGCGGUGAAUACGUUCCCGGGCCUU